rnacentral:lncRNA from 1 species
UAAUUCUGUCUCAAGAGACCAAACUUCUUCAAUCUGAAAUGCUGCAGUGUUGAUCUUUAGUGGCUGAAGCCCUACUCUUUUUCCUUACAAUUCGUUUCUGUAUUUCCAUUAUCACAGAAACCAUUCUCUUUUCCUUGCUCUUUUGCAUUUUCUUCAGGUGAUGAAUCCUUUUCUUUUGCUUUUUCUUCAGGUGAUGAAUCCUUUUCUCUUGCUUCUUCUUCAGCUUUCAAUCUGGCGUCCUCUUUUGCCUUCUCAAGCCCUGCUAUUAGUCCCUCCAAGCAAACCUUGUUGUCUCCAGGAAGAGUCUUUGGCAUUAAAUGCUCCGCCACUUCAGCGGGAGUCAUUUUGGUUUCUCCCAGCAACUCUUGGAUCUUGGAAUACAAGUGGUGUGUUUCAAGCCGAAGGUAAUUCUUAGCCAAAACCUUGAAUGCUUCAAAGCUACAAUAUGACAAUUCUAUGUGCUUGUCCAUCCUUCCUUUCCUGAUAAGAGCUGGAUCAAGUUUCUCCAAGAAAUUAGUUGUGAAAACAACCAGUCUUUCUCCUUUACAAGCUGACCAGAGUCCAUCAAUAAAAUUCAAAAGCCCAGAAAGAGUGACCUGACUCUGUUUGCUGUCUGUUUCUUCCUUUGGCAGCUUCAGCUUUGGAUCCUUCUCAUCUCCCCUUCCCUGUUCUUCCUUUUUCUUCUUCCUUUGACCGGUUAGAUCAAGAGAACAGUCAAUAUCCUCGAUCACA